rnacentral:sRNA from 18 species
AAAAAACUUACUAUUAUAUUUGUAACAAAUUUUAUACAUAAGAUAAAUUCGUAUGUAUAGCCGUUCUGCUCGAAACGGUAUAGCACCGUAAUGGUGGUAUUAUGAAUUGUAGCAAGGUGCGAGGCUACCUUUAAAAGUCUUGGAGGUGCUCUGAGUGGGUACUUUAUUAGGGUUAUAAUUUAGAAAGUAAGCUAAAACUCUAGGUGUUGGGCAGGGCUAACACUGGCAUAUAAUUAAAUAUGCGAUAAAGUAAGU